UGGCUAAUCUACAUUCUGCUCGGCUGCAGC
rnacentral:piRNA from 1 species